rnacentral:rRNA from 1 species
GACGAACGCUGGCGGCGUGCUUAACACAUGCAAGUCGAACGGAAAGGCCCUGCUUUUGUGGGGUGCUCGAGUGGCGAACGGGUGAGUAACACGUGAGUAACCUGCCCUUGACUUUGGGAUAACUUCAGGAAACUGGGGCUAAUACCGGAUAGGAGCUCCUGCUGCAUGGUGGGGGUUGGAAAGUUUCGGCGGUUGGGGAUGGACUCGCGGCUUAUCAGCUUGUUGGUGGGGUAGUGACUUACAAAGGCUUUGACGGGUAGCCGGCCUGAGAGGGUGACCGGCCACAUUGGGACUGAGAUACGGCCCAGACUCCUACGGGAGGCAGCAGUGGGGAAUAUUGCACAAUGGGCGGAAGCCUGAUGCAGCAACGCCGCGUGCGGGAUGACGGCCUUCGGGUUGUAAACCGCUUUCGCCUGUGACGAAGCGUGAGUGACGGUAAUGGGUAAAGAAGCACCGGCUAACUACGUG